UUGGGCUGGCUUUAACUCAUGAUCCCUUUAUCCCAGCCUGGCUUUAUAAUCAGCCGAUCUCAAUCUCCCUCUGUCCGUGCACUCUUCUCUCCAUCUCUUUCAGGGUUGGAUGUGGGGUGUUGGUAAUUGAACUUAGGGCCAGGGACAUGCUUUACUGCUGAGCUGUAUCCCUAGCCUAACAAAAGGACUUUUAAAAUGAAAAACACACUAUUUCAGUAUUGUCUUAAUUAAGUAUAAUUGGUUUUGGUUUGCUUGUUUUGCUUUUUGUUUUUACGAUUUAUUUAUUUGGGAAGCUGGGGUGAUGACUUAGCAAUUAAGUGUACUAGCUGUUCUUCCAGAGGACCCAGGUUUGAUACGUAGCAUCUAUAAGACAGCUCACAACGGCCUAUAACUACAGUCCUAGUGGAUCGAUCCCAUGCCCUCUUCUGAUCUCCAAGGGCAUUAAUAUGAAUCUAGAAACUCUAAUGCCUAUUAAAUAUCAGUGGUAGGACAACAAAAAGAUUAAUAAAUAUUAAUAAAGGUGUGGAGAGUCAGCUCAGUUUUUAAGAUUACUUGGCUGUUCUUACAAAAGAAGGACCUAGAUUCAGUCAGUUCUUAGCUCUCACUUGGCAACCCAGAACUACCUGUCUACUUCUAAAAGAUCCAAUAUCCUCUCUAAAUCACAUGGUUUCCUGUAUUCAUAUGAUACACAUAAACUCAUACAAGUGCACAUACAUACACAUAGAUAAAAUAAAACUAUUGUUUUAAAAACAGCUCAGCAAAAUUUCUUGUUAAUAAACAACUAUGUGAAGUGCUGUAAUAACCUUACAGGAGGGGAUAUUUCUGUAAAGAAUGUAAAACUAAAAGUAUUACUCUUUGGGCGGUGGAAGUCUUAGGACCCAGCCAAGUUGGCAGUCACUCAGUUUUUAAGAGUAGUGGGAUAUAUGGAUCAGGACCAUCAGCUAGUGUGCUUACAGAACAAUAGAGAAUACAAGGUAAGUUAUGUGCAGUUUUAAAAUAAGUGUAAUGGUUACACAGCUCUCUAAGUAGACUACUGAAUUGUACACACUUUAAAAGUGGUGAAGCACGAGAUAGAGUAUAGCUUUCUUUAUAUAGUUUUAUGUCUUUAUUGUAAUUGUAUGAAUGUUUUGCUUUCAUGUAUGGCUGUUUGUCACAUGUGUGCCUGGUCCUUUUGGAGGUCAGCAGAAUGCAUCAGAUUCUCUGGAACAGGAGUUAAAGGAGGCUGUGAGCCAUUGUGUGUUGGGAAUCAAAACUGGAUCUUCUGUAAGAGCAGACUGUACUCUUAACCACUGAGCCAUCUCUCCAGCCCCAUGAAGCUUAUUUUUAAAUACAGGUGGAUUUCUGACUGCCCGCCUGUCUUGAAAAUAAAAUAAAAAAAUAAAAUUAUAUGGGAAAAUACCAGGCUUUGCUACCAGCAGUAUCCCCUUAUCUAUGAGAAUUGUAUUUCAAGACCCAUGUGGGUGUUUGAAGUCAAGUGAUACUGAACCCUAGGUAUUCAGUAUUUUUCAUAUUUCAUGCAUACAAAGAUUUAACAUCUCUUUCUUGAUAAUGAAUCAUUUCUAUGUCACACACUUUAAUUUUGACAGUUUAAGGGAUUUAAGGUAUUAAUGCAAAGCUAGCACACAUUCCUUUCCUCAAUUUUAUCAUCUCAAGGAUUUGGCAUUUGUUCUUACUAUAAUUUCUUACCAAACUCAACAUAUGAUUAUUUUUCUUUUUGUUUUUGAGUUACAUUUAUUUGUGUGUAAUAUGUGACCAUGCAUGUACCAUAGUGUGUGCAUGUAAGCCAGAGGACAAUUGAACUCUGGUGGUUAGGCUUUCAUACAGGCGCCAUGCAUUUUUUUUUUUUUUUCUUAGUCUGUUAUACUGUUUAGUUUUGCUUUCUCACAGGAAUUAUCUUUAAGGGCUUCUCCUUAGUACUUAUAAUUGUUAGCAUCGCUAUUAUUAUACUUUGUGGCCGUGAUAUAAAAUAAAGGUUCCUUGAACACAGGUUGCUGCAUUUGAUAGAUUGAUAACAAAUGGUCAUUAAGUCACUAAUGGGCAGGUAAUACAAUGUAGACUCAUUGAAUAAAGGGCAAAUUGUUAGUAGAGUAACUGGAAAUACCAUUACACCACUAAUGACAGUAAUUUAAAGCUAAGGAAUUAUUUAAAUGUCUUAAAAUU
ensembl:sense_intronic Gm43920 predicted gene, 43920